GAUGAACGCUAGCGGGAGGCCUAACACAUGCAAGCUGAGCGGUAGAGUAUCUUCGGGUACUUGAGAGCGGCGUACGGGUGCGGAACACGUGUGCAACCUGCCUUUAUCAGGGGGAUAGCCUUUCGAAAGGAAGAUUAAUGCCCCAUAAUAUAUAGAGUGGCAUCACUUUAUAUUGAAAACUGAGGUGGAUAAAGAUGGGCACGCGCAAGAUUAGAUAGUUGGUGAGGUAACGGCUCACCAAGUCGAUGAUCUUUAGGGGGCCUGAGAGGGUGAUCCCCCACACUGGUACGGAGACACGGACCAGACUCCUACGGGAGGCAGCAGUGAGGAAUAUUGGACAAUGGGUUAGCUCCUGAUCCAGCCAUCCCGCGUGAAGGACGACGGCCCUAUGGGUUGUAAACUUCUUUUGUACAGGGAUAAACCUAUCUACGUGUAGAUAGCUGAAGGUACUGUACGAAUAAGCACCGGCUAACUCCGUGCCAGCAGCCGCCGUAAAAC
rnacentral:rRNA from 1 species